UGGGGAAUAUUGCACAAUGGGCGAAAGCCUGAUGCAGCAACGCCGCGUGAGGGACGACGGCCUUCGGGUUGUAAACCUCUUUAGCAAGGAAGAAGCGAAAGUGACGGUACUUGCAGAAAAAGCGCCGGCUAACUACGUGCCAGCAGCCGCGGUAAUACGUAGGGCGCAAGCGUUAUCCGGAAUUAUUGGGCGUAAAGAGCUCGUAGGCGGUUUGUCGCGUCUGCUGUGAAAACCCGAGGCUCAACCUCGGGCCUGCAGUGGGUACGGGCAGACUAGAGUGCGGUAGGGGAGAUUGGAACUCCCGGUGUAGCGGUGGAAUGCGCAGAUAUCAGGAAGAACACCGAUGGCGAAGGCAGAUCUCUGGGCCGUAACUGACGCUGAGGAGCGAAAGGGUGGGGAGCAAAACAGGCUUAGAUACCCUGGUAGUCCACCCCGUAAACGUUGGGAACUAGUUGUGGGGUCCAUUCCACGGAUUCCGUGACGCAGCUAACGCAUUAAGUUCCCCGCCUGGGGAGUACGGCCGCAAGGCUAAAACUC
rnacentral:rRNA from 1 species